UAACAAAUUUUGCGUUUGCUUGCAGAAGCUUGACAGUUUCAGUGCCCAUUUUUGUAUCCCCUCUUGUGUCAGCAGUUUAGUAUUAAUUAAAUCUUCAAAGUUUAGGAAAUUCAAUUUUUCCUUUUCAGGUACUGAAUACUCGUCAUCCCCAUCUUUCGAAGAAGCGUUAUUGUCAACUCAAACAGUUACUUGUAAUUUGGCUGACGUUCUGCAAGCAACCAAUGUGCUGAUCCAAGAUUAGAGGACAUCAAAGCUGCCAAAGCAGAAUUGGUGGCACCAAACCACUACAUUAAAUGAAAGCUGGGCAGCAUUUCAAGAGAGCUUGUUCAACACCAUCAUUUCUGGAUGAAAAAAGCUGUAUAAGUGACACUAGCUGCAUGAAAUACAGAAAGGAUCCAGCUGUCAUACAUUUGUCUUGAUUGCCACUUGCACACAAGAUUGUGUGGACUUUGUAACCAGUCGGUUCACAACUUCCAUCCAUUUCACGAUUGUGAUGCUGUGAAGAGUGGUUUUCCAAGUCCAAUUCCCCCAACUGUAUCCACUGACAGUGAUGGAGAGUGGAUUUUUGUAGGUAUGUGAUAUAUAUGAAUUUUGGAGGUAAUUGUUAUAUCCCGUUUGCUAUGGUAAGAAUCAUGUAAUUGAUCCAUUUCCUUGUGUGGCUAACUAUUUCUGUGUUCUUGCAUUUAGGUGGACAUUUUAAUGUUAAAAACUAUUAGGACUAUUGUUUAGUUAUAAAAUAAUAUAACAUCAUGAUCUGCUUAAUCCAAGUUUCUUUUUCUUGGAUAAUUUUCUGUCUUAUUCUUCAAGCACCCAAUCAUCAAGUUGUACACAGAAUGAAUAAACCUUAAUUUGCUUUUUUAAGCUUUUACAUAUCAAUUCAAAUUUAAGACUAACCCUAGGUUAUGUCAACCCAGCUUUGAACAACACGGCCCUGAUGGCUUAGGAGAUACAAGUAUUUCAUCAUUUCCUUACCAUUCUAUAUGAAAGAUUGCUAUCCAAUAUUUGCAACACUGGAGAUUCCAUUUUUUUUUCUUUGGCUAAACUCUUCCUUUAUGUUUUAAAAUGGGAGAAUGCUAUUAAUUGUUAUGUCUUAGUUGUUAAGCACUACAUGUGGCAUUUCAGAGCAUUUGUUUCCAUUGUCUCAGUUUUCAUUGACAUGCCCUAGGUGUAACUGCAGCAAUAUCCAAACAGUUGGGAAACAAAACAGAUGUAUAGUAGUUACUUUCAGAGGACAGUUUGAUGUUGGUCAUGUAUUGUUCCAAUGCCUCCACUGUGAGAAAGACCUGCCAACUUAUGACCCACUAGUUGUCACAUAAUCUGGGUUCCAGGAGGUAUUAGUAUGAGUUAUGUGUUUGAUCCUGAGGUGGUUUUACACUGGGACCUUUUCCAGAAGGAAAGUCCAGGGUCUUCAGAGAGGUCUUUUGAAAGGAAGGAUUGGAACAAUAAACUGCAAAACAUUUGGCACUGCCUUUAAGGAAUGGAAGUUUUGCCAGUAUAAGCUAGAUGAAAUUUGCCUCAUGGACUGGAUUAAGUGCCCACCCUGUGAAGAGAGCCAGCACUCAGUUCAUGUGGAUGGGAAUAGGAAAUUGUAUUGUUUCAAAUCAGCUGGAAUGUUAGUACUAUAAACUUAUAUAUAUAUAUUUAUUUUUUUAAUUAUUUUAUUUAUUUAGGGUUCCAGUUCUCUCCUGGUGUGUUAAAUUUCCUUGUUUCCUAAGAUGAUUAAAAACUUUAUAUAUUUAGGUUCCUUGUAAUCUUUAGGACCUUAAAAUAUCCUGGCUUGUAAAAUACUGUGUUUGAGUUUGGCUUUUCUGUGUGUUCAUCUCAUUCAUAAUUCCCUGGAGUCUGUUUGAUUUUGAUGCUAUAACUUUCAUAAUAGUUAAUAAGAGGCUGGCAUGAUGAAUGGAGAGAUAUCUGGCUAUGCCCAUUACUUGCAGACAGCUUAUUGUAUACCUAAAAGGGUACAGUUCCUUUUGUAUGAUAUCAUCUGCAUGUAUUGGCCUUGGCUGAAAAAACAUGACAAGCAGUCAGUGGAGAACAUGAAGCAGCUUUGUCUACUAUGCAUGCUAAAGUACAUUCAUGGUCUUUUUAGAUACAGUGUGCCUCAGAUGGUAUUGAAUUUUAUUCUAGCUGUAAACAUCAAAACACAAUUACUUAAAGCCCAGUUGUCAGUUGAGUCUUUUUAUCCUCAUAACAAUGAAUAAUGAGGCAAACCAUAGCUGAGAAAUAUUUUUUCCCCCUUUUUUGUGUGUUGCUUUUCUGCCUCAUGCUUAUUGUUGCUGUGUGCAUAAAUAAUCUACUGUCCUUCUGUAUCAUAUGUUUUGAUCAAACAAUGGAAAAUUAUCUACAUUUUGAGGAAUACUGGGUAAUGUUCAACUGCAGCUACAAAAUUAAAUAAUUAUGAUUGUUUGUAGGUUAUCUGAGGUGGCAGAUGGCAGGCUGUGCUUCAGCAACCAUUGGUGAGGAGGUGAGAAGAGUUGCUAACAGAGCAUGCCCUCCAGUGGGACUGGAAAAAAAUUGAAAAGCUUCCUCUCUCCUGGUUAAGCGAUAUUCUAAGGUUGGCUCAGAAUCUCAUAGAUAUCAAUAAAAAGCACUUUAACCGUCUGUUAGCU
rnacentral:lncRNA from 1 species